rnacentral:rRNA from 1 species
GACGAACGCUGGCGGCGUGCUUAACACAUGCAAGUCGAACGAAGUGGCGAACGGGUGAGUAACGCGUAAUCAACCUGCCCUUCAGAGGGGGACAACAGUUGGAAACGACUGCUAAUACCGCAUACUGAAGUAGGGGAUUGCGUCUGAUUAGCUAGUUGGAGGGGUAACGGCCCACCAAGGCGAUGAUCAGUAGACGGUCGGAGAGAAUGAACGGCACAAUGGGGACGGAGACACGGCCGAGACUCGUACGGGAGGCAGCAGUGGGGACUCUUACGAAAGGGACGAAGGUCGGACGGAGCAACGCCGCGGGAGUGAGGACGGCCGUCGGGUUGUAAAGCUCUGUUAAUCGGGACGCGGUACCGGAAUAGAAAGCCACGGCUAACUACGUGCCAGCAGCCGCGGUAAUUC